AACACAGAAAAAUCUGUUUUUAUUUAUAUUUUGACAGUUUUCUCAAGAACCUUUCUCUGUAUUUUCGAGGAGCGUCUCGCUGCAGCCUGCGGUGGACAUCCAACCCGGCCCACAUCCAAGUGUGACGUCACAGACCACGCCCAUGUCAAAAUACGUCACAUUCUCAUUCAUUUUGAAACAGGAAGAAGCAUCGAUAAGAAGAUAAUUUGUGUUGUUUGCCGUGUCGGAGCGCCAAGAGGACAUAAAGUGGAAGUUUGUAAGGGACAUUGGUUCAGCGUGGUACAGAGUCAUCGUGGGUUAUUCUGUGGGGAGGUGACAGGGCCUGUCUUUCUCCAGAUGGACAGUAAAAAUCAACAGAAUGCCAUCAGAGACUACCUGGAGGGAGAAUCGGAGGAUAUAUUGAAGCAAGGACUCUCUCUGUGUAGUCUAUGUAUGUAUGUGUGUGUGCUGCAUGUCAAGAACUGUUUAUCUGUUCAUUCAGCUGCUCAAUAAUAUUUGGAGCAUAUCUUUUGUUAAACACAACCAGUCAAAAGUUUUUGAACAGUGAGAUUUUUUUAUGUUUUUAAAGAAAUUUCUUCUGCUCAUCAAGCCUGCAUUUAUUUAAUCCGAAGUACAGCAAAAACAGUCCAAUUUUAAAAUAUUUGUAUAAUAUUUUUGCUAUUUAAAAUAACAAUUUUCUAUAUUUCUAUUAAAAUGAAAUUUAUUCCUGUGAAUUCAAAGGUGACUUACUCCAGUCACAUGAUCCUUCAGAAAUCAUUUUAAUAUGCUGAUUUGAUGCUCAAAAAACAUUUUAUUAUUAUUAUUAUGUUAAUACACUGAAGACUGGAGUAAUGAAGCAGAAAAUUCAGCUUUGAUCACAGGAAUAAACUGCAUUUUAAAAUACAUUCAAAUAGAAAGCAGUUCUUUUAAAUUGUAAAAAUAUUUCACAUUACUGUUUUUGCUGUGUUUUGGAUCAAAUAAAUGCUGGCUUGGUGAGCAGAAGAGACUUUAAAAAAUAAUAAAAAUCUUACUGUUCAAAAACUUUUGACUGGUGGUAUAUAUAUAUAUAUAUAUAUAUAUAUAUAUAUAUAUAUAUAUAUAUAUAUAUAUACAUUUUUUUUUUUUUUUGAUAAAAUUGUACAUGUAAUUAUUUUUGUAAAAUAAUAAAUAUAAAAAUACCCAAUGAAAUAAUGGAUGCCUUUUUUUCAUUCAUCUUUAAGUAUGUGGAGGACCUGGACAUGUUUCAUAUCAAGUUGUGAUGAACAAGGCCUGAAGGUCAAUGUCAUGUUACUUAUAUAAUCUAUCAAUGCAAUCUUUAUUCAGCCUAAGUAUGUGUAGCCUACUGCAUAUGGGGAACUGUUGAUUCUAUCAUUCAAAUGUUAACACUUUAUGAUAAGUGGAAUAAAUCUUUAGAAAAUUAAAUGACAAUUAUACAAUACCAACUUUUACAAUAAUUUUGCAUACUUUUACAAUACCAGAAUCUAAUUGUCCCCUUAAAAUUUGAUGCAUUUCAAUUUUGCCUUGGAGUCAUGAAAAUCGUUUUUUAAAAAAUGUGAAUUUAUCUCAUUACAUAAAUGAACAAGGUAAGGUUUAAAAGUUUUAAUUGACAAUUAGCCUACUUUAAUCAACAGGGAUGGGCGUGACUUCUGAUGUCACACUUGGAUGUGGGCGGGGUUGUGUCAGGGAUGGGCGUGACUUCUGACGUCACACUUGGAUGUGGGCGGGGUUGUGUCAGGGAUGGGCGUGACUUCUGACGUCACACUUGGAUGUGGGCGGGGUUGUGUCAGGGAUGGGCGUGACUUCUGACGUCACACUUGGAUGUGGGCGGGGUUGGAUGUCCACCGCAGGCUGCAGCGAGCCCUACUU
ensembl:lncRNA